rnacentral:ncRNA from 1 species
UUACCCGAAUAUAUAUAUAUAUAUAUAUAUAUAUAUAUAUAUAUAUAUAUAUAUUUAUCAUUGAGAGGGAAACAGCCCGGAUCACCAGCUAAGGCCCUUAAAUGACCACUUAGUGAUAAAGGAGGUAGGAGUGCAGAGACAGCCAUGAGGUUUGCCUAGAAACAGCCACCCUUGAAAGAGUGUGUAAUAGCUCACUGAUCGAGCGCUCUUGUGCCGAAGAUGAACGGGGCUAAGCGAUCUGCCGAAGCUGUAGGAUGUAAAAAUGCAUCGGUAGGGGAGCGUUCCGCCUUAGAGGGAAGCACUCGCGUGAGCGGGGGUGGACGAAGCGGAAGCG